rnacentral:rRNA from 1 species
UGAGUAACGCGUGAGGAUCUGCCCUUAGGAGGGGAACAACAGUUGGAAACGACUGCUAAUGCCCCAUAUGCCGAGAGGUGAAAAGUUUUAUCGCCUGAGGAUGAACUCGCGUCUGAUUAGCUAGUUGGUGGGGUAAAGGCCCACCAAGGCGACGAUCAGUAGCUGGUCUAAGAGGAUGAUCAGCCACACUGGGACUGAGACACGGCCCAGACUCCUACGGGAGGCAGCAUUGGGGAAUUGU